CUUCAUCAUCCAGCCAUCUAAACACCUAGUAGCCCUAACAAUACUGGUGACUUCUGCAUUGAUUGCCACCCACCCUGCCUCACUUUAUUUGAAUCACUCAUCACUGAUUCACUUUAUUGCUGUUGACUCUGAUAGGUCUAGCAAGGUCAUUAGUACCAUACCCACCAGGGUAUUGGUUGGCUGCCUCCUGCAUCCCCCCCAUUGGGGAUUGAACCUGCAAACCAGGCAUGGGCCCCGAACCACAACCUCAGGGUUCAUAGGUUGGUGAUCAACCACUGAACCACACCGCUUUGGUGAGCAAUAGAAACUCUAAGAAAGAACCAAAUGUAAAUUCUAGAACUGAAUGAUGCAGUAUGUGAAAUUUAAAAAAAUUACUGGAAGGGCUUAAUAGAAGAAUGGAGAUGGCAGAAGAAAGAGUCAGUGACCUUGAAGAUAAAUAGAAAUUAUUCAAUCUGAAGAACAGAGGAAGGCAUUUUUUUAAAUGAGUAGAAACUCAGGAAUAGUGGAACAAUAUAUAUAUAAAAAAAAAACCCUCUAAUAUGCAUGUCCUUGGAGUGCUAGAGGAGAGAAGAGAAUGAGGCAGAAAAAAUAUUUGAAGAAAUAAUGGCUGGAAAUUUCCCAGCUGUUGAAAAAGGCAUCUAUCUUCAGGUUUAAGAAGUUCAAUAAAUUCAAAGCAGAACUAAAAAUAAACAAAAGAGCACACAUGGGCCCAUCAAAGUCACAUUGCUGGAAACUAAAGAUAAAAAGAAAAUCUUGAAGGCAUCCAGAGAAAAAGAACACAUCGCAAUCACAGAACCACAUUUUCAAUGUCACUGCUUUCUCAUCAAAACCAGCACAGACCAGAAAGAAGUGGAACAACUUCUUCAAAACAUUGGAGGGAAAAAGCGUCAACUCAGUGUUGCUUUUCCAGCAAAAAUAUUCUUCAAGAAAGAAGAUGAAAUAAAAGCAUCUUCAGAUAAAAAGAAAACUUAGAAAACUUGUCAUCAGCAGACCUACAUUAAGAAAGACGCUAAACUUCUUCAGGCUGAAGGGAAAGAAAUCCAGAUGGAAGAACAGAGUUGCUAGAUGAAUAAAGAGAAAUGGUAAAUUUCUGGGGCGUGACCAGAGGCUACGCAAGCUAAUGUGAGCCCAUGAUGAGCCAAGGCUACAUCUGCUCUGCAUGGGUCCCCAGAUAUAGGUUAAGAGGAUUGAAUCAAAGAAAUAAAGGGAGCAAUCUACAAAACUGUGAGUACACAAUGUUCGCAAAAAUAGAAACACGAGAACAAUCUAAAACAACUGUGACCGGCCCAGCAGCAUGGAUCAGUAGUUGAGCAUCAACCGAUGAA